AUUGAACGCUGGCGGCAGGCUUAACACAUGCAAGUCGAGCGCCCCGCAAGGGGAGCGGCAGACGGGUGAGUAACGCGUGGGAAUCUACCUAGCUCUACGGAAUAGCUCCGGGAAACUGGAAUUAAUACCGUAUACGUCCUUCGGGACAAAGAUUUAUCGGAGUUGUAUGAGCCCGCGUGGGAUUAGCUAGUUGGUGGGGUAAUGGCCUACCAAGGCGACGAUCCAUAGCUGGUCUGAGAGGAUGGUCAGCCACACUGGCACGGAGACACGGCCCAGACUCCUACGGGAGGCAGCAAUGGGGAAUAUUGGACAAUGGGCGAAAGCCUGAUCCAGCCAUGCCGCGUAAGUGAUGAAGGCCCUAGGGUUGUAAAGCUCUUUCAACGGUGAAGAUAAUGACGGUAACCGUAGAAGAAGCCCCGGCUAACUUCGUGCCAGCCGCCGCUGUAA
rnacentral:rRNA from 1 species